rnacentral:rRNA from 1 species
CCUACGGGAGGCAGCAGUGAGGAAUAUUGGUCAAUGGCCGUAAGGCUGAACCAGCCAAGUCGCGUGAAGGAAGAAGGAUCUAUGGUUUGUAAACUUCUUUUGUAGGGGAAUAAAGGUAUCCACGUGUGGAUAUUUGCAUGUACCCUAUGAAUAAGCAUCGGCUAACUCCGUGCCAGCAGCCGCGGUAAUACGGAGGAUGCGAGCGUUAUCCGGAUUUAUUGGGUUUAACGGGUGUGUAGGUUGUUUUUUAAGUCAGCGGUGAAAGUUUGUGGCUCAACCAUAAAAUUGCCGUUGAAACUGGAAGUCUUGAGUGUGUUUGAGGUAUGCGGAAUGCGUGGUGUAGCGGUGAAAUGCAUAGAUAUCACGCAGAACUCCGAUUGCGAAGGCAGCUUACUAAGCCAUAACUGACACUGAAGCACGAAAGCGUGGGGAUCAAACAGGAUUAGAUACCCUUGUAGUC